AAGGGAACAAGGAUUAUCAGAAACAUGUCUUACAUUAUCUGUCUCUGUGUGUGUGUGUGUGUGUGUGUGUGUGUGUGUGUGUGUCCCAUUUAACAAAACAUGGGAAGUCGAGUGAUGGUUAACAGUCGAUCCCUCGACAGGCCUUCAUGUGAACAGUAUCUGUGAAUUCAUCGCCAUGACAUAAUCAGCAGUCUUUUGAAUGUUAAAUUCAAUCAUUGCAAAGAGAAUCGGUUAUUUUCAUAUUUCACCCCUGUAAACCUACCAUUGCAUACAGGACUGGAGUACCUAUUUUUGUUAUUUAAACUUUUAAUUUUAUUUUCCACAACCAGAAGGUCAAAUCAUGUCUCCUGUUUUUUUUGAUUCGUUCAUUUGAAAUAAUUUACAAUAAACAUGUUGCCAACCCUU